rnacentral:rRNA from 1 species
AUUGAACGCUGGCGGCAGGCCUAACACAUGCAAGUCGAACGAGUGGCGGACGGGUGAGUAAUGUCUGGGAAACUGCCUGAUGGCGGGGGUUAACUACUGGAAACGGUAGCUAAUACCGCAAACCUUCAUAUGUGCCCAGGUGGGAUUAGCUUGUUGGUGGGGUAACGGCUCACCAAGGCCACGAUCCCUAGUUGGUCUGCGAGGUUGACCAGCCACACUGGAACUGAGACACGGUCCAGACUCCUACGGGAGGCAGCAGUGGGGAAUAUUGCACAAUGGGCGCAAGCCUGAUGCAGCCAUGCCGCGUGUAUGAAGAAGGCCUUCGGUUUGUAAAGUACUUUCAGCGGGGAGGCGUUACCCGCAGAGGAAGCACCGGCUAACUCCGUGCCAGCAGCCGCGGUAAUUC